AUUGAACGCUGGCGGCAUGCCUUACACAUGCAAGUCGAACGGCAGCACGGGAGCAAUCCUGGUGGCGAGUGGCGAACGGGUGAGUAAUAUAUCGGAACGUGCCCGGUCGUGGGGGAUAACGUAGCGAAAGCUACGCUAAUACCGCAUACGAUCUACGGAUGAAAGCGGGGGAUCGCAAGACCUCGCGCGAUUGGAGCGGCCGAUAUCAGAUUAGGUAGUUGGUGAGGUAAAGGCUCACCAAGCCGACGAUCUGUAGCUGGUCUGAGAGGACGACCAGCCACACUGGGACUGAGACACGGCCCAGACUCCUACGGGAGGCAGCAGUGGGGAAUUUUGGACAAUGGGCGCAAGCCUGAUCCAGCAAUGCGCGUGCAGGAUG
rnacentral:rRNA from 1 species